rnacentral:lncRNA from 1 species
UUUCCUUUGAAGACCACCUGGCUACCAAUAACGGUCUCACCAGCCAAAUCCUGUAUUUGUGGGCCAAGACAGAAGAAGAACAACAAUGAAAAAAAGCUGGAAAUCUUAGAGCAGACUCACAUCUUAACUAGGAGAAUACGUGCUGGCCCAAGUGCCCCAGGACUGAAGCAAAUCAGACAUAGGGGAGGAGGGAGAAUGUUAGAAUGAGGCACACCUGAUUCAGCCGCUAAAUAGUCUGGUUGGCUAAGAAUCACAAUCGAGGCAUUUUGCCUUUCUAGUUUUCUUUGGUGAAGAUCUGUGAGCAUCCAAAUGAUAUGAAGAGCAAUAUGGCUAAUCUGCACUACUUCGGAAGCCUGGGAGGAAUACUUCCUCUUUGCUGGAUGUGGCGUCUGCGUGUACCAUCUGGAAUUGCUGUAGCCAACUUACAAAUACAGACGAAAGCUUUAUCAACCUGCUGAGCACAGCAGAAUGGAAAGAUGCAAAGCACCCUGCUCUUGGGAACUGGCCACCUUCAGACUUCUUGCUACAUCAGGUUUUAUCUACUACAAAGGAUAUCACUUGGGAAGGAAUUUCUUGAAACUGCUCCCAAGAGAGCCAUUGGACCAUGUGGUAAACAACUCCUAGCUGAUGGAUUAUUGGGAAUAUUAACAUCAUCCAGAAUGCUAUGGGGAGAAGACAACUGGAAGCUCCGUGUGGACAAACCUCCUGGACUCUGCCCCACAUAUCUCUUCCCUUGGCUGAUUUGAAUUUGUAUCCUUUCACUGUGAUAAACCACAACCAGAUUAUUACAGCUGUCAGCAAGUUCUUCUAUUGAAUUGUUGAAACUGAGGGUGGUCUUGGGAACCCCUGAACUCUACUGUUGGUGUCAGGAGUGAGGGAAGUCUUGUGGACUGUACUCCCUGACCUCACAGGUGCAUUUUCCAACUUUAUUUGGACAUUCCCCAACAACAUCAUCCCCUUCUUCAAAUAUGUUUCUGCUACAAACAUUGUCCUUUAGAUGGUUCCUUUGCUGCCAUUAUGACUAUGGCGUAAUCUGUAGUAAAGCACCAUUAAGAUGUUAAUACAGAUGUAUGUGUGAAUUAAAAAGUGAUGCUAAAUGCAUAGUAACCAAUUUACUUCGCAUUAAUAAUUUAGCUAUUUUUAUUUGUUUCUAAACAAAAAGCAAAGAGGAUCCAGUCCAGAGAGCAGUUGCAACAGUGUGCACAAUUUUUAUUAAACCGAAAUAAAAGUUCUUGGGCUAUGGAAGUCACCUAAAUUCACUUCUCUUUUCCUAUGAACUUUCACUUUUUUUCCUUCCAACUCUAGUUAGAAGCUGACAGCUGACACGCCCUUCCUUUGUGCAUUUUAUCCUGGGACAAAAUGAGAAGACAUCCUUCAGUUCCCAUCUUGGAUGGCAUAACUUCAAAACCAAGGGAGAUGGAGGAGUUUUAGAGGAGUAGAAGGCUGCAAGCAAGAACUGAUGCAUUACAUCUCCAGUCACCUCACUCUAAGAUUGUCCUGUAGCUAAGACUGUUGAAUGAGACUGUUGUUCUUCAGUUUGCAGCCACAAAGCACGGAGGCAUCUCCCCAAGAAUCCACUGCAGGGAGGAUGAACAGCCCUUACCUGGAUUUUUGCUUUAUCUAAAAAUAUAUUUGUAGAAGAAGGAGCAUUCUAGUUUCCAAAUACAAAGGGCAAUCUCCUUCUCUGUGUGUGCACGUGCAAACAAACACACUUCUACAAGUAAGCAUUCUUCUUUAUUAUCAUAGUCAUCAUCAUCACUGGGUUGGCAACUAAAAACAAAACUACAAAACUCUCAUGUUAGCAGUUGAGUAACUUUUAAUAACCAGAUACAAACCAUUCUUCAUUGUUUACAAGGGGCAUUAAAAAGAAAAGGAGGUUGAACUGCAAUGUGAAGUGUAGUUAAAUAUGUAGACAUCUUGGAUUCUAGAAGAGUUUGUAAUGGAUUAAAGGGUUAAGCUAUGAAAUUGUUGCCCUCUGUGAUUUUUCCACACUAGAACAGACUGACAUGGUUUGAAGCAGUUGGGCUUUAACCUAUAGAUAGGAGGACAGAGAUGAUUGCCUAUGAAGCAAUUAUUAAAUAGCUGCAUUUUGGCAUGUUCUAGUUGAAAAGAUUUAGUUUUACCUAUAUCACCUCAUCAUCACUAAUUUAAUCAUCCUCAGAAAAUGCAAAAAUAAUGAUGUACAUUUGACAAGUCUUAUACAAAAUUAUGUUUCAUAGCUUUGUGGUCAGAAUUAAGCCAUGUUCUAAAAUACAAAUGAAUAGUUUACAGCCCACUAAUUCCUAACUGUAAGUGUUAAGUCUAUAUAAAAAUAAGAGACAAGCUUGUGAUCAGGAAUAGCUUCCAAUUAUGAAAAAUUUAAAUAAAAAUAAUAGAAUGUGCUUAAUUUAUUUAUCAUAUACAAAGUAGACAUAUGUGACCAAAAUGAUUCAUUAUUUUUACGAUUUUCAUGGGAAUAAGUUUGACAAUAUU